rnacentral:rRNA from 1 species
AUGAACGCUGGCGGCGUGCCUAAUACAUGCAAGUUGAGCGAACAGACGAGGAGCUUGCUCCUCUGACGUUAGCGGCGGACGGGUGAGUAACACGUGGAUAACCUACCUAUAAGACUGGGAUAACUUCGGGAAACCGGAGCUAAUACCGGAUAAUAUAUUGAACCGCAUGGUUCAAUAGUGAAAGACGGUUUUGCUGUCACUUAUAGAUGGAUCCGCGCCGCAUUAGCUAGUUGGUAAGGUAACGGCUUACCAAGGCAACGAUGCGUAGCCGACCUGAGAGGGUGAUCGGCCACACUGGAACUGAGACACGGUCCAGACUCCUACGGGAGGCAGCAGUAGGGAAUCUUCCGCAAUGGGCGAAAGCUUGACGGAGCAACGCCGCGUGAGUGAUGAAGGUCUUCGGAUCGUAAAACUCUGUUAUUAGGGAAGAACAAAUGUGUAAGUAACUAUGCACGUCUUGACGGUACCUAAUCAGAAAGCCACGGCUAACUACGUG